UGGGGAAUAUUGGACAAUGGGCGAAAGCCUGAUCCAGCCAUGCCGCGUGUGUGAAGAAGGUCUUCGGAUUGUAAAGCACUUUAAGUUGGGAGGAAGGGCAUUAACCUAAUACGUUAGUGUUUUGACGUUACCGACAGAAUAAGCACCGGCUAACUCUGUGCCAGCAGCCGCGGUAAUACAGAGGGUGCAAGCGUUAAUCGGAAUUACUGGGCGUAAAGCGCGCGUAGGUGGUUUGUUAAGUUGGAUGUGAAAUCCCCGGGCUCAACCUGGGAACUGCAUUCAAAACUGACUGACUAGAGUAUGGUAGAGGGUGGUGGAAUUUCCUGUGUAGCGGUGAAAUGCGUAGAUAUAGGAAGGAACACCAGUGGCGAAGGCGACCACCUGGACGAAUACUGACACUGAGGUGCGAAAGCGUGGGGAGCAAACA
rnacentral:rRNA from 1 species